GAAAAGAGAAGAAAAGAAAAAGAAAAAGUCUCAAGUUUACUUAUCCGUGGUCUCAUCUUGGUUCUCUCAAUUCCUUCACCUAGACAAAAACAAACUUCUUGGCAGAAUCCCUGUCUUUAUUUUCCAGUCUUCUGUGUCAUCAAGAAGAAAAUAUAAAAUAAGCUUUCAGCAAUUUAAAAUGCAGCAGAAGGAGUUACAUGCCAUUUUCCAGAAAAAAAUAUCAACCUGUAACAGAUUUGCAAUCUGAACCUGAGCUCUGCAUGGACAUUGCCAAACUUCAAGCCAGCAAAUCAAACUGAGAGAACAUCUCCUGAGGUCCCAGCCUCCUGCCUCACAUCUCGUACAUCUUGAUUACCUUGCUGAGGCUGCUCUAUUGACCUUAAGCCAGCCUCACAGCAGAGAAAAGGUUUCCAGAAAGACUUUUAUUUAUCAUUCUGUGGAAGGAAACUUUGGCUAUAGUUGAUGAGAAUUAAUUUGUCUCCCUUGUCACCUCCAUGCAACAUGCAAUUCUGAAUAGUUUCUUAGUAGAUGGUCCAGAGACUUCAAGAGAUCUAGCAAUUAGCUCUUAGCAAGUGGAUGCUUUAGUAAGUGGCUUUGACAUAGCCUCAAAUGUUUCUAUGUCCUUUAUAACUUAAUCCUAGCCUUGUCUUGCUCUCCUGUUAUUUAGAAUUGCAUGCAAACCUAGUAUCAGGCUCUGCUUUCAGGUGAAGCUGGGCUAUAUAUAUAUAUAAUUUUUUUUUGCAUAUUGACACUCUAAAAGUGUUACAGCAGCAUACCCCUUCCCUGUGUUCAAGGCAAUUUGAUAACUUAU
rnacentral:lncRNA from 1 species